CAGAGCGUCCCUGAUGAUACAACAAACAGGAAUCAGCAGCAGAGCUGACCACGUGUUCUACCAAAGAGUGAGUGGGGACAGUGGAAGGAGCCACAGAAACCUGGUAACAUGAAGAGGAGGUGCAGGUCUUCCCGGAAGUCCGGCCGACUGAGGCUCUGACUGUGAAUCGUUUGACCUGGCUAGGCUCUCCACCAACACACUGCUCCCUGAUUCAUCUGCUGCCAACCCCUUCAAGUUAUUCAUCUGGAAGAAAUAUGCAUUCAUCAUUGUAUUUUUAAUCACACCAAAUAGAUAGACAAAGAGAAUGCCUUGGGGAGAGGGGGAGCAAUCUACAAUUCCCAGAGCUCAGAUGGUAUUCCUGCCCUGCAUCGCCAAACAUUCCCCAAAUUGACUCUGAAUUAAUUUAUUUUUAAUGUGUGGAAGAUGCUCUGCCACCGAGAAUAGAGAUGGUGUGUCUGUGUUAGUUCAUGUGUGUGUGUGUUUGUGUUCCUCUCUGUCUGCACUGUAAUAGCAUGCUUCUGUGUGCAUUUGCCUGUGAGCCUGUGUGUUUUGUAGCAAUUGCACAUUGUGUAUACAUUUACUUGCUAUCGUGUCUGGAUGCAAGGUGCAAUGUGCACACGUUUUUCUGGACUAUGAGCAAAACAAUGAACAGGGAAGCAAAACUAGAUUGUGACCUAAUCCGGACAUUUUUGUUUCUUAAUAUUGCACCUUAUGAAACAGCAACGUUUCCAGAGUUGCUCUGCUCACAAACCAACUACAAAGACAUUAAAGUCUCCCUCACAAUAAUCCCUCUCU